UCCCUGGUGGUCCAGUGGUUAAGAUUCUGCACUUGCAUUGCAAGGGGGGCAGGCUCCAUCCCUGGUCAGGGAA
rnacentral:tRNA from 1 species